rnacentral:rRNA from 1 species
UACAGGGGGGGCAAGCGUUGUUCGGAAUUACUGGGCGUAAAGGGCCAGUAGGCGGCCAACUAAGUCACACGUGAAAUCCCCGGGCUUAACCCGGGAACUGCGUGUGAUACUGGAUGGCUUGAAUUCGGGAGAGGGAUGCAGAAUUCCUGGUGUAGCGGUGAAAUGCGUAGAUAUCAGGAGGAACACCCAUGGCGAAGGCAGCUAUCUGGGCUAACACUGACGCUGAGGUGCGAAAGCGUGGGGAGCAAACGGG